AUGCUGUCAUUUGGAAUUGUCUAGACUAAUUGCAGGUACAUACGAUGAUACAGCAGGUGGAGAAAUUUCAAUUGGAACAGGACUUCCUCGGAUAAUAUCUUCCCGUUGACAUCCAAAGAAAGCGACUUUUAAAUGCCAGGAUCUAUGACUGAACGUAUAGUGUGGACUUAAGGAGAAUCUUCCUGGACUAUCUAAAUGGAACUGACUAACUGUGGGACAUAAAGAACUAUAUCUAUUGUAUUCCCCGAGGAGCAAAGCUAGGACUGUGUAAACAGUUUCUAAGCUGGCUUUCUGAGGUCAUAGACAAUUGAGACUGUGGGGCGAUGAUAAAACACUGACAAGACUAUUGAGCAAUACUUGGACCUAUCAAAAUAAUAAGAUGUUGCACCAGGGGGAGAUGAGUGAAUUUCAAAGAGAAAUGGUGUUGAUGUUCCAAAGUACUUAUGAUAUGUUGACAAGGAACCACAAGGAGAUAAAAGACAUACAUGAUAUACAUGGGGAAUUAGAAAAUGUUCAACAAGGGACAAUGAAUAAAGAUCAUAAAGCACAGGAAAUAGAGGAGAUAAUAGAAAGACCAGAGGAAAAGAUAGAACAGAUAAAUCAACAAAUAAAAGAAGAAAAGGAGAAGACAAUGAAGACUUAUGAAUUAAAUCAGGAAAAAUAUAUAUUAAGAAACUAAAAAAUGAUAUUGGAUAAACAGAAAAAUAUUUUUGAAGAGAAGAUAGGGGCUUGGGCAGAUCCUUGGGAGGUACGGCAGCAAAAGAUAGUAGAAAUGGAUGAAAUAUUUGGAUUAAACAGGAAAAAGGUAGAUAGAGAUAAAGACCCAAUGGGGGAAUGCGGGAGGCAAGUCAAAAAAUGAAUAAGAAUCGAAAUACUAAAACAGACAAGAGAUGAUGUUAUAAAGGAAAUGCUUUUUAAUACAAGAUUGGCUUUAUUAAGAGCUAGAAUAGAGGUAGAAACAAGAUA